rnacentral:rRNA from 1 species
UAAGACGAAGGUGGCGAGCGUUGUUCGGAAUCACUGGGCUUAAAGAGCACGUAGGCGGACUGUCAAGCGUUUUGUGAAAGCCCUCGGCUUAACCGAGGAAUUGCUUGGCGAACUGGCAGUCUUGAGGCAGGUAGGGGCAACUGGAACUCUUGGUGGAGCGGUGGAAUGCGUAGAUAUCAAGAGGAACGCCGAAGGCGAAGGCGAGUUGCUGGGCCUGUCCUGACGCUGAGGUGCGAAAGCGUGGGUAGCGAACGGGAUUAGAUACCCCGGUAGUCCACGCCCUAAACGAUGUCCACUAGGUUGGAGGCACUCUGACGUGUUUCUAGCCGAAAUGAAAACGGUAAGUGGACCGCCUGGGGAGUACGGUCGCAAGGCUA